rnacentral:lncRNA from 1 species
CAGGUAUCAUAGAAGAUGGAAUGAAAGAGAUCACUCUCAAUGAUUCAAAUGAACAAAAUAAAGAUCAGAUGAAUGAAAAAUAAAAGGAUGAAAGAAUCAAUGAUCAAAACAUUCAAGAACAACUUUCAAACACAGGUAAUCUCCCAAGAAAAUGGAGGUAUGUCCAUAAUCAUCCUAGAGAAUUAAUAAUUGGUGAUCCGGCAC